rnacentral:rRNA from 1 species
CUCCGUAGGGGAACCUGCGGAGGGAUCAUUG